rnacentral:rRNA from 1 species
GACGAACGCUGGCGGCGUGCUUAACACAUGCAAGUCGAGCGGUAAGGCCCUUUGGGGUACACGAGCGGCGAACGGGUGAGUAACACGUGAGUAAUCUGCCUUUGGCUUGGGAAUAACUUCGGGAAAUCGGGGCUAAUGCCUGAUGUUUACUGUCUGCUGCAUGGUGGGUGGUGGAAAGAUUUUUUGGCCAGGGAUGAGCUCGCGGUCUAUCAGCUUGUUGGUGGGGUAAUGGCUACCAAGGCUUUGACGGGUAGCCGGCCUGAGAGGGUGUUCGGCCACACUGGGACUGAGACACGGCCCAGACUCCUACGGGAGGCAGCAGUGGGGAAUAUUGCGCAAUGGGCGUAAGCCUGACGCAGCGACGCCGCGUGGGGAGUG